rnacentral:rRNA from 1 species
CCUACGGGUGGCAGCAGUGGGGAAUAUUGGACAAUGGGGGGAACCCUGAUCCAGCCAUGCCGCGUGUGUGAAGAAGGCCCUCGGGUUGUAAAGCACUUUCAGUGAGGAAGAACGCCUGGUGGUUAAUACCCAUCAGGAAAGACAUCACUCACAGAAGAAGCACCGGCUAACUCCGUGCCAGCAGCCGCGGUAAUACGGAGGGUGCGAGCGUUAAUCGGAAUUACUGGGCGUAAAGCGCGCGUAGGUGGCUUGAUAAGCCGGUUGUGAAAGCCCCGGGCUCAACCUGGGAACGGCAUCCGGAACUGUCAAGCUAGAGUGCAGGAGAGGAAGGCAGAAUUCCCGGUGUAGCGGUGAAAUGCGUAGAGAUCGGGAGGAAUACCAGUGGCGAAGGCGGCCUUCUGGACUGACACUGACACUGAGGUGCGAAAGCGUGGGUAGCAAACAGGAUUAGAUACCCCAGUAGUC